rnacentral:lncRNA from 1 species
AGAGAAGGGUGUCCCAGAUGUAGGCAAAGCGUCCUCCAUGUGUUCCUGGAGGACCGUCCCAAGUCCUUCUCCAUUCUCCCAACCUCUUGGGCCUGGUCCCAUUCCAGGUCUUGCCCAAGUCUUUCUGAUUGGUGGGACUUAAAUCACACCCAAAAUUCCAGCUGCAGGAGAGCUCUGAGAUUUCAUCUUUCCAACCUCUGUGUGCUACGUGGGGGUUGGAGCACUUGCUGACAAGCCUUGCAACCACCAUUGACAGGAUGUCCUCCACCUUUUCAAUCUGAUUUGCUCUUUGCCAUGCAGACCUGUGGAUGAAGAGCCAGAGUCCUCCAAGGUGAAGCUGGACUGAAUAUUUCUGUCCAUAAGACUAUUAGAAUCCCCCAAAGUGGGAUACCAGUGAGGACCUCACCAGCAGCUGCUGUCUCUCCAAUGCAGGUAGAUGAGCCUCAGAAAUAACCGCUGCUUGUGGUUUGCUGUGUAUUCCUCUAGAUGUUUUUCUUUACACAUAUUAGUGAGUGUGGAGAGAGAGUGUGUAUGUGUUCUGUAAAUUUGAUUACACUGCGCAUUUAUUCCGAAAUCCAUUUCACUUUACCGUUGGAACGUAAGCUCUGUGAGGGCAGAGACUUUUGUUUAUUGCACUUGCUGUUAGAGCUCUUGUCUGUAACAGUGGCUGGCACAUGGUCACAUCAUAGUAGAAGCUCAAUAAAUAUUUGUUGAAUGAAUGAAAAAA